rnacentral:piRNA from 1 species
UUGUGGGAUCCCUCUAAGAGGGUUCAUGGUGA